rnacentral:rRNA from 1 species
GAUGAACGCUAGCUACAGGCUUAACACAUGCAAGUCGAGGGGUAACGAGAGGAAAGCUUGCUUUCCUUGUCGACGACCGGCGCACGGGUGAGCAACGCGUAUCCAACCUGCCCCCAACUAAGGAAUAACCUUGCGAAAGUAAGACUAAUACCUUAUAAUUUCCUCAGAUGUCAUCUGACGAGGAAUAAAGAUUUAUCGGUUGUGGAUGGGGAUGCGUCUGAUUAGCUUGUUGGCGGGGUAACGGCCCACCAAGGCAACGAUCAGUAGGGGUUCUGAGAGGAAGGUCCCCCACAUUGGAACUGAGACACGGUCCAAACUCCUACGGGAGGCAGCAGUGAGGAAUAUUGGUCAAUGGGCGAAAGCCUGAACCAGCCAAGUAGCGUGCAGGAUGACGGCCCUAUGGGUUGUAAACUGCUUUUAUACAGGAAUAAAGUUAGCUACGUGUGGUUAUUUGUAGGUACUGUAUGAAUAAGGACCGGCUAAUUCCGUGCCAGCCGCCGCGGUAA